AGACCCGAAACCCGGUGAUCUAGCCAUGGGCAGGUUGAAGGUUGGGUAACACUAACUGGAGGACCGAACCGACUAAUGUUGAAAAAUUAGCGGAUGACCUGUGGCUGGGGGUGAAAGGCCAAUCAAACCGGGAGAUAGCUGGUUCUCCCCGAAAGCUAUUUAGGUAGCGCCUCGUGAAUUCAUCUCCGGGGGUAGAGCACUGUUUCGGCUAGGGGGCCAUCCCGGCUUACCAACCCGAUGCAAACUGCGAAUACCGGAGAAUGUUAUCACGGGAGACACACGGCGGGUGCUAACGUCCGUCGUGAAGAGGGAAACAACCCAGACCGCCAGCUAAGGUCCCAAAGUCAUGGUUAAGUGGGAAACGAUGUGGGAAGGCCCAGACAGCCAGGAUGUUGGCUUAGAAGCAGCCAUCAUUUAAAGAAAGCGUAAUAGCUCACUGGUCGAGUCGGCCUGCGCGGAAGAUGUAACGGGGCUAAACCAUGCACCGAAGCUGCGGCAGCGACACUGUGUGUUGUUGGGUAGGGGAGCGUUCUGUAAGCCUGUGAAGGUGGCCUGUGAGGGUUGCUGGAGGUAUCAGAAGUGCGAAUGCUGACAUAAGUAACGAUAAAGCGGGUGAAAAGCCCGCUCGCCGGAAGACCAAGGGUUCCUGUCCAACGUUAAUCGGGGCAGGGUGAGUCGACCCCUAAGGCGAGGCCGAAAGGCGUAGUCGAUGGGAAACGGGUUAAUAUUCCCGUACUUGGUGUUACUGCGAAGGGGGGACGGAGAAGGCUAUGUUGGCCGGGCGACGGUUGUCCCGGUUUAAGCGUGUAGGCUGGUUUUCCAGGCAAAUCCGGAAAAUCAAGGCUGAGGCGUGA
rnacentral:rRNA from 1 species